UUGAAGGAGAGACUCACACUCGGUCGAACAGGGCGAAUUGCGGACAACUUUGACCUUCUGCUUUGCAGUUUUUAAAAGAGGAUGAGCGUCUUGACUUUUUGAGUGCGGAAGCCAGCUGCCGCGGCUUUUGAAGCUUUUCUCAGCGUCCUGAAUUAAACUCGAAAGGGGAGGUUUCAUGAAGUCAGAAGCAGCAGCGGUGCCACUGCAGUACAACAUAACAGUAAAGGAAGAUGGUUGCAGAAGGCCAGAGUAACAUGAACAAAGAUACAAGCUUAUGCCUGAGCCCAGCUUAUGCCUAUUGGCCAUGGACUGCAUUCAAAAAUCAUCAGAAAAGAGGCCCCAGUAGAAGGCACCUAUGUACAGAACCUGCUAAAUCUGUAAUGGACAGCUGCAAGUGCCAUCCUUUCACCACCGAUUGUGGGCCAUGGAAAUGGGUGGAAGAGUUGCUUUUGGAAGAAAUCUUCAACCAUUGUUUCUGAGAGGUGGAAAGGGUGAGCAGCUUCAAGUUCCUGGGUGUCAACAUCUCGGAGGAUCUAUCCUGGGCUCAACACGUUAAUGCAAUCACGAAGAAGCCUUCAUCACUGCAAUGUUAUCCAGCCAUCUGAGAACUUUGCACAUCUCCAAGUUUGACCUCUUCUGUAAUCCUAAUUGCUUUCAUCUCACCCUUGGCAUUUAUAUUAUCAGAUAAGUAAGCCUUGAAGGUUUGUUAAAUUAUUUUACUAAAUUAAAAAUCAAUUUUGGAUCUGGUCCUAAAUCAAAUUUAUUCUUUUUAAGUGCAAGACAAGGUACUUCACUGAUUACAGUAAUAUUUACAAUCAAGUUUAUCCUUGAGGGUAAGUUUUGCCAGUGCCAUUUGAAUUAUAAGAAAGACAGGAAGAAAAAUUCUCUGCAGUGAGAAUUCAUGACUUCCCAAUUAAACAGGAUAAGAUUAGGUGGAAUGGAAAAAGCAAUAUGUAUCAAAAUGUAAACAAAAAAUCUUGUUUUGUUAAUGAGUACCACAAAUAUAUAUAUUUGUUUAAAU